rnacentral:rRNA from 1 species
UCGAGAAUCUUCGGCAAUGGACGAAAGUCUGACCGAGCGACGCCGCGUGCGGGAUGAAGGCCCUCGGGUUGUAAACCGCUGUCAGUUGGGAGGAAGGGUUUGUGAAGAGCAAAUCUUGACCGAUCUUCAGAGGAAGGACGGGCUAAGUUCGUGCCAGCAGCCGCGGUAAGACGAACCGUCCAAACGUUAUUCGGUAUCACUGGGCUUAAAGCGUACGUAGGCGGCCCUGAAGGUGAGAUGUGAAAUCCCACGGCUCAACCGUGGAAUUGCGUUUCAAACCACAGGGCUAGAGGAAGACAGGGGUGAUGGGAACUUAUGGUGGAGCGGUGAAAUGCGUUGAUAUCAUAGGGAACACCGGUGGCGAAAGCGCAUCACUGGGUCUUUUCUGACGCUCAGGUACGAAAGCUAGGGUAGCGAACGGGAUUAGAUACCCCCGUAGUCC